AUGCCGUUCUUUUCUCUUUUAAGUAUUUUACAAGUUUCAUUAAAACCUUUUUCUUUUCUUUUUGUCCCCUUCAUUGCUAUUACUGCCACCUGAGACUACAUUCCCCUCUAUCCAGAUAAAUAAACAAGAAUAAUCAAGCAUAACAAAUAAAUAUGGUAGUUAUGUUUGAAAAUGUCUCCUAUUCUAUAACUAUAGUCUGUCACCUCUCCAAUAAAAGUCUGGAUUUAGGAAACAAUUUGUUUCUUCCAUCUCCUCUGCACUGAUCUUCAAUAUAAUGUGAAAUUUCUAACUGAAGAAAAUAUUGAAGUCCUUACUUCAAAAGAGUGAUGAAGUCCUUACUUACAACAGUUUUUGGCACAGGUGUACAUGAUUGCUUUGGAGCAGAUGGAAGAUAUUUGGCCCAACCUUGCAGGAAACAGUGCACCCAAGAAAAGGCACAAAUUGUUACCAUGCAGUCUGAGGUCUUCUCACAUGAUAUUAGGUAUGAGAUGGCAGCAGGAAGUAGUAGACUCUCUACACAAAGGAGAUGUUCAAAAUUACAAUUGUUCCAAAGCAUUACUUUAUAAGCUACAUGCAAAAAAAAAAAAAUCUCUAAAAUCAUAUGUGAAAAGAAGUAAUGAAAACAUUAGAAAGUAAAGAUUGCCAAUAGCUUUCAUCAGUUUUUACUUAUUUGAAUUGUAGUUUGAAAGCUUAUUAUAUUAAUAUCA